AGUAAAUUGGUUAAGUUAGAAAGGGCGCACGGUGGAUGCCUUGGCACUAGGAGCCGAAGAAGGACGGGACUAACACCGAUAUGCUUUGGGGAGCUGUACGUAAGCGUUGAUCCAGAGAUUUCCGAAUGGGGGAACCCACUAUCUUUAGUCGGAUAGUAUCCUUACGUGAAUACAUAGCGUAAGGAAGGCAGACCCAGGGAACUGAAACAUCUAAGUACCUGGAGGAAGAGAAAGAAAAAUCGAUUUCCUGAGUAGCGGCGAGCGAAACGGAAAGAGCCCAAACCAAGAAGCUUGCUUCUUGGGGUUGUAGGACACUCUAUACGGAGUUACAAAAGAAAGUUAUAAAUGAAGCGGUCUGGAAAGGCCCGCCAAAGACGGUAACAGCCCGGUAGUUGA
rnacentral:rRNA from 1 species